GGUAGCCGGCCUGAGAGGGUGACCGGCCACACUGGGACUGAGACACGGCCCAGACUCCUACGGGAGGCAGCAGUGGGGAAUAUUGCACAAUGGGCGGAAGCCUGAUGCAGCAACGCCGCGUGAGGGAUGACGGCCUUCGGGUUGUAAACCUCUUUUAGCAGGGAACAAGCGAAAGUGACGGGACCUGCAGAAAAAGCGCCGGCUAACUACAUGCCAGCAGCCGCGGUAAUACAUAGGGCGCAAGCGUUAUCCGGAAUUAUUGGGCGUAAAGAGCUCGUAGGCGGUUUGUCGCGUCUGCUGUGAAAUCUGGGGGCUCA
rnacentral:rRNA from 1 species